UACGUAGGUGGCAAGCGUUGUCCGGAUUUAUUGGGCGUAAAGCGCGCGCAGGCGGUUUGUUAAGUCUGAUGUAUAAACCAAAGGCUCAACUUUGGGUGGCAUUGGAAACUGGGAGACUGGAGUGUAGGAGAGGAAAGUGGAAUUCCACGUGUAGCGGUGAAAUGCGUAGAGAUGUGGAGGAACACCAGUGGCGAAGGCGACUUUCUGGCCUAUAACUGACGCUGAGGCGCGAAAGCGUGGGGAGCAAACAGG
rnacentral:rRNA from 1 species